GAAAAGUUGACGCGCUCGCUCAAACAUCAGCUCCUAAAGAUGUAAAAGGUGUUCGUCAAUUAUUAGGACUGGCUGGAUACUUUAGACGUUUCGUGAAAAACUUUGCAACUUUGACAGCACCGAUAUCUGCACUGUUACGUGAGGGAAAAUCUUUUGAAUGGACAUUUAAAUGUGAAAAUGUACGAUUGAUUUCUUAUCCGAUUUUCAACAUUUUUGAUCUGGAAUUGUCAACCGAACUACAUACAGAAGCAAGUUCGUUAGGAUUAGAUGUCGUUGUUAGCUGUCGAAUAGAGGAAAGUUGAAACCAAAGUAUCACGGACCCUUUGAGGUAACGCAUUGUUUACCUAAUGAGAGGUACGCACUCCGAAGGAUUGGCAGCCGAGGUAGAACUACAAUAGCAGCGCAUGAACAGUUACGAACCUGGCCAGAUACAGAAAUUCUAUAAGAUUACCGGUGUCAGGUGAAUCUUUGCAAAACUGUGGAAGGUGCGAGGACGCCCCACAUGUCAGGAAGGCCGUGUUAGCUUACGUCAUCACCUUCACCGAUGGACCGAUGCGACGUGCUCACAUCUAUUUAGACUAGUUUUGUUUCAUAAGCAAAUCUGAAGUAUUUGUUUACAUUUAAUAAUCGGGGCAGUUCUUAAGAAAGAACCGAGCAGUCAAGCUUUAGAUGUCGAGGGUUAAAGUACGUUUGUUGUAAUAAAGCGUAUUAUUGUGAA